GACCUUCGGGGUCAUACGAUAAAAAGAUACAAAGACUAUUAGCAUGGCCCUGAACAAGGAUGAUGCGCACAAAAAUCGAGAAAAAAUAAAUAAUU
rnacentral:snRNA from 1 species